UGGGGAAUAUUGGACAAUGGGCGCAAGCCUGAUCCAGCCAUGCCGCGUGAGUGAUGAAGGCCCUAGGGUUGUAAAGCUCUUUCACCGGUGAAGAUAAUGACGGUAACCGGAGAAGAAGCCCCGGCUAACUUCGUGCCAGCAGCCGCGGUAAUACGAAGGGGGCUAGCGUUGUUCGGAUUUACUGGGCGUAAAGCGCACGUAGGCGGACUUUUAAGUCAGGGGUGAAAUCCCGGGGCUCAACCCCGGAACUGCCUUUGAUACUGGAAGUCUUGAGUAUGGUAGAGGUGAGUGGAAUUCCGAGUGUAGAGGUGAAAUUCGUAGAUAUUCGGAGGAACACCAGUGGCGAAGGCGGCUCACUGGACCAUUAGUGACGCUGAGGUGCGAAAGCGUGGGGAGCAAACAGG
rnacentral:rRNA from 1 species